UAAAGCCAAAGACCUCCCAAGCUGUCAAACGCACUCCGGAGGCACGAAACCCUAACACGAAAGUAGCUUUACCUUUAUCCCCGACGCCACGAAAGCUAAGAAACAAACUGGGAUUAGAUACCCCACUAUGCUUAGCCCUAAACCCAGAUGUAGCACGUACAAACAACAUCCGCCAGGGUACUACAAGCGCUAGCUUAAAACCCAAAGGACUUGACGGUGUCUCAGACCCGCCUAGAGGAGCCUGUUCUAGAACCGAUAAUCCCCGUUGAACCUCACCAUCCCUUGUUUUUCCCGCCUAUAUACCGCCGUCGCAAGCUUACCCUGUGAAGGGUCUACAGUAAGCAAAAUGGGUAGACCCCAAAACGUCAGGUCGAGGUGUAGCUAACGAGAUGGGAAGAAAUGGGCUACAUUUUCUACAACAGAAUAUCACGAACGGCACCAUGAAAAUUAGUGCCUGAAGGUGGAUUUAGCAGUAAAAAACAAACAGAGCGUGUUUUUGAAUCAGGCUCUGAGACGCGCACACACCGCCCGUCACUC
rnacentral:rRNA from 1 species